rnacentral:rRNA from 1 species
GACGAACGCUGGCGGCGUGCCUAAUACAUGCAAGUAGAACGCAGUUGCGAACGCGUGAGUAACGCGUAGGUAACUGCCUCAUAGCGGGGGAUAACUCUUUGAAACGAUAGCUAAUACCGCAUACUGUGAGAUGGACCUGCGUUGUGUUAGGUAGUUGGUGAGGUAAAGGGUCACCAAGGCGAAGAGACAUAGUCGACCUGAGAGGGUGGACGGCCAAACUGGGAGUGAGAACCGGCCCAGAAGCCUACGGGGAGCAGCAGUAGGGAAUCUUCGGCCAUUGACGGAAGUCUGAACGAGCAAAGGCGGGUUAGUGAAGAAGGUUUUUGGAUCGGAAAGGUCUGUUGUUAGAGAAGCGGUAACUAACGAGAAAGGGACGGCUAACUACGUGCCAGCAGCCGCGGUAAUAC